UGGGGAAUAUUGCACAAUGGGCGCAAGCCUGAUGCAGCAACGCCGCGUGAGGGAUGACGGCCUUCGGGUUGUAAACCUCUUUUAGCAGGGAAGAAGCGAAAGUGACGGUACCUGCAGAAAAAGCGCCGGCUAACUACGUGCCAGCAGCCGCGGUAAUACGUAGGGCGCAAGCGUUGUCCGGAAUUAUUGGGCGUAAAGAGCUCGUAGGCGGUCUGUCGCGUCUGCUGUGAAAUCCCGAGGCUCAACCUCGGGCUUGCAGUGGGUACGGGCAGACUAGAGUGCGGUAGGGGAGAAUGGAAUUCCUGGUGUAGCGGUGGAAUGCGCAGAUAUCAGGAGGAACACCGAUGGCGAAGGCAGUUCUCUGGGCCGUAACUGACGCUGAGGAGCGAAAGCGUGGGGAGCGAACAGGAUUAGAUACCCUGGUA
rnacentral:rRNA from 1 species